rnacentral:lncRNA from 1 species
AAAAUGGUAAUAAUAAUAAAAACUAGUAGAAAAUAAAAAAUAUGUUAAAAAUGAAAAAUGCUGAAAACCAAGGAUUGAACCCAGAACUUAAGGUUUAACAAGCAACAUCUUUACCAACUCAACCAAAUCGACAUCCCUGUUAUAUUCGGGAUUACGACUGGAUAUUCCCUCCAGGUAAUCUUUUUUUUCCAACUUUAUUAAGAAGAGGUUUUGAAUCUUG